rnacentral:misc_RNA from 1 species
GAUGAAGAACGUAGCGAAAUGCGAUAAGUAAUGUGAAUUGCAGAAUUCCGUGAAUCAUCGAAUCUUUGAACGCACAUUGCGCCCCCUGGUAUUCCGGGGGGCAUGCCUGUCCGAGCGUCAUUGCAACCCUCAAGCGCGGCUUGUGUGUUGGGCUUCGUCCCCCCGUGGACGUGCCCGAAAGGCAGUGGCGGCGUCCCGAAUGGUGCCCGAGCGUAUGGGAACUCUCUUCCGCUCGAACCGGCCCAUUCGGCGCUGGUCGAACCCCAAUUUUUUUUUACCGGUUGACCUCGGAUCAGGUAGGGAUACCCGCUGAACUUAAGCAUAUAAUAAGCGGAGGA